rnacentral:sRNA from 1 species
CGCCUAAACCCCUUGAAUUCCUUCAAGAGGCAUGGCGCCAAAGACUCGUGAAAGAUACUGAACCCUACGUUCAGCGCUUUCACGAGCCAUAUCCCGAAAGGGGUAUGGGAUCCGCAAGGAUCC